UACGGAGGGAACUAGCGUUGUUCGGAAAUACUGGGCGUAAAGCGCACGUAGGCGGUGUCGCAAGUCAGGGGUGAAAUCCCGGGGCUCAACCCCGGAACUGCCCUUGAAACUGCAGCACUAGAAUCCUGGAGAGGCGAGUGGAAUUCCGAGUGUAGAGGUGAAAUUCGUAGAUAUUCGGAAGAACACCAGUGGCGAAGGCGACUCGCUGGACAGGUAUUGACGCUGAGGUGCGAAAGCGUGGGGAGCAAACAGG
rnacentral:rRNA from 1 species